AGAGUUUGAUCAUGGCUCAGAACGAACGCUGGCGGCAGGCCUAACACAUGCAAGUCGAGCGAGACCUUCGGGUCUAGCGGCGGACGGGUGAGUAACGCGUGGGAAUAUGCCCUUCGGUUCGGGAUAGCCCCGGGAAACUGGGAGUAAUACCGGAUACGGUCUACGGACGAAAGAUUUAUCGCCGAAGGAUUAGCCCGCGUUGGAUUAGGUAGUUGGUGGGGUAAUGGCCUACCAAGCCGACGAUCCAUAGCUGGUUUGAGAGGAUGAUCAGCCACACUGGGACUGAGACACGGCCCAGACUCCUACGGGAGGCAGCAGUGGGGAAUCUUAGACAAUGGGGGAAACCCUGAUCUAGCCAUGCCGCGUGAGCGAUGAAGGCCUUAGGGUUGUAAAGCUCUUUCAGCUGGGAAGAUAAUGACUGUACCAGCAGAAGAAGCCCCGGCUAACUCCGUGCCAGCAGCCGCGGUAAUACGGAGGGGGCUAGCGUUGUUCGGAAUUAC
rnacentral:rRNA from 1 species